AUGGUAUUUGACAAAGAAAGGAAAAUGUAUUCUAAACAUAUCAUGGUUGCAACGGCAACUGGUGUUGCCCCUUUCCGCAGUAAUAUCCAAGGCAUAUUUUUAUCUAAAAUACUAGGAAAUACUGAUAAUAUCUGGUUGAUCUCCGGGGCUGACAACUAUAACAGUCUUUUAUACGACAAGGAAUUCAUUCAAGUUCAAAAUAACAAUAUUGAUCGCUUCAAAUAUCAGAGGGCCUUGAAUAACUCUGUGGAUGAUGUCAUCUACCAAAGCGGCGAUGAAAUUUUCAAACUUUUGGAAACUGGUGCAUAUAUAUAUAUAUCGCUGGAUCAAAUACCAUGCUACCUGGAAUUAAGGCAACAUUCGCCAAGAUUGCUCAAGAAAGAGGUGUGGAUUGGGAUGAAAUGCUAAGAGAGCUGCAGAGCACUAAUCACUGGCGUGUUGAAGUUUACUAGCUAGCUAGAUAACUUAAAUCCAAUGGUUUUAUGUUAAAAUUGGUGGCAGUGACAUUUAGUAUUAUUAAUGUCUUUUUAUCUAAUAUUGUUUAAAUAAUAAAUGCCAUCUACAUCCGCCUGA